UACGAAGGGGGGCUAGCGUUGCUCGGAAUCACUGGGCGUAAAGCGCACGUAGGCGGAUUGUUAAGUCAGGGGUGAAAUCCUGGAGCUCAACUCCAGAACUGCCUUUGAUACUGGCGAUCUCGAGUCCGGGAGAGGUGAGUGGAACUGCGAGUGUAGAGGUGAAAUUCGUAGAUAUUCGCAAGAACACCAGUGGCGAAGGCGGCUCACUGGCCCGGUACUGACGCUGAGGUGCGAAAGCGUGGGAGCAACAGGGAUUAAGAAACCCUUGUG
rnacentral:rRNA from 1 species